rnacentral:rRNA from 1 species
GUAAUGUGAAUUGCAGAAUUCAGUGAAUCAUCGAAUCUUUGAACGCACCUUGCGCCCUUUGGCAUUCCGAAGGGCACACCCGUUUGAGUGUCGUGACAUCCUCAAACCUUCUUGGUUUCUUGACUGAGAAGGCUUUGGACUUUGGAGGCUUUUGCUGGACCUUUGCUUGUUGAAGCCAGCUCCUCUUAAAUGAAUUAGUGGGGUCUGCUUUGCUGRUCCUUGACGUGAUAAGAUGCUUCUACGUCUUGGGUUACGCACUGUUUGCUAUAGAUCCUGCUUCUAACCGUCUCAUAGAAGACAAAYGGUCGACUUGACCCACAAACCUUGACCUCAAAUCGGGUGAGACUACCCGCUGAACUUAAGCAUAUCAAUAAGCGGAGGAAAAGAAACUAACAAGGAUUCCCCUAGUAACUGCGAGUGAAGCGGGAAAAGCUCAAAUUUAAAAUCUGGUGGUCUUUGGCCAUCCGAGUUGUAAUUUAGAGAAGCGUCUUCCGCGCUGGACCAUGCACAAGUCUCCUGGAAUGGAGCGUCAUAGAGGGUGAGAAUCCCGUCUUUGGCAUGGACCCCAGGGCUUCUGUGAUACGCUCUCAAAGAGUCGAGUUGUUUGGGAAUGCAGCUCAAAAUGGGUGGUGAACUCCAUCUAAAGCUAAAUAUUGGCGAGAGACCGAUAGCGAACAAGUACCGUGAGGGAAAGAUGAAAAGCACUUUGGAAAGAGAGUGAAACAGUACGUGAAAUUGUUGAAAGGGAAACGCUUGAAGUCAGUCGCGUCGACCGAGACUCAGCCUUGCUUCGGCUUGGUGUACUUCUCGGGCUGACGGGUCAGCAUCAAUUUCGAUCCUUGGAUAAUGGCWWGGGAAAGGUAGCACCUUUACRGGUGUGUUAUAGUCCUCUGUCGSAUGCAAGGGUGGGGAUUGAGGAACUCAGCACGCGCCUUGUAGGUGUCGGGGCCUUUUGGCCUACG